GGUUGACCUCGGAUCAGGUAGGAGUUACCCGCUGAACUUAAGCAUAUCAAUAAGCGGAGGAAAAGAAACCAACAGGGAUUGCCUCAGUAACGGCGAGUGAAGCGGCAAGAGCUCAAAUUUGAAAUCUGGCCCCUUGGGGUCCGAGUUGUAAUUUGCAGAGGAUGCUUCGGGAGCGGUCCCCAUCUAAGUGCCCUGGAACGGGACGUCAUAGAGGGUGAGAAU
rnacentral:rRNA from 1 species